rnacentral:rRNA from 1 species
GAGUUUGAUCCUGGCUCAGAGUGAACGCUGGCGGCAGGCCUAACACAUGCAAGUCGAACGGCAGCGCAGCAGUAGCAAUACUGUGGGCGGCGAGUGGCGGACGGGUGAGGAAUACAUCGGAAUCUACCUUGUCGUGGGGGAUAACGUAGGGAAACUUACGCUAAUACCGCAUACGAACUACGGUUGAAAGCGGCGGACCGCAAGGCGUCGCGCGAUUGGAUGAGCCGAUGUCCGAUUAGCUAGUUGGCGGGGUAAAGGCCCACCAAGGCGACGAUCGGUAGCUGGUCUGAGAGGAUGAUCAGCCACACUGGAACUGAGACACGGUCCAGACUCCUACGGGAGGCAGCAGUGGGGAAUAUUGGACAAUGGGCGCAAGCCUGAUCCAGCCAUGCCGCGUGUGUGAAGAAGGCCUUC